rnacentral:pre_miRNA from 1 species
AUGUAGGGCAAUAUGUCUUUAAGUAGGGAUAAGUUACUCUAAAAGAAAUGAAUCUUAGAUAGUUUUCCCACCGGGCAUCCUAU